UACAGAGGGGGCAAGCGUUGUUCGGAAUUACUGGGCGUAAAGGGCGCGUAGGCGGCCCGCUAAGUCGAACGUGAAAUCCCCGAGCUCAACUCGGGAACUGCGUCCGAUACUGACAGGCUUGAAUCCGGGAGAGGGAUGCGGAAUUCCAGGUGUAGCGGUGAAAUGCGUAGAUAUCUGGAGGAACACCGGUGGCGAAGGCGGCAUCCUGGACCGGCAUUGACGCUGAGGCGCGAAAGCUAGGGGAGCAAACGGG
rnacentral:rRNA from 1 species